rnacentral:tRNA from 1 species
GGUUUGUGGCCCAAGUGGUAGUGUGCUCACCUAGCAUGUGUGAGGCACUGGGUUCGAUCCUCAGCACCA